AGUGGGUGAAUAUAAUUAUCUUGGUCUAACUUAUACUGUUUAUUAUACCGCUAUUCGCAGCAAUAUCUUUCUCUGCUCCGAUUGCAACGCUGCCUCGUUCAAAAAUCAUAACACCUACACGGCCGCCACGUUUACCAGCCGGAGCCUCAAAUCAUGUCCCUUUGUGGUGAUAAAGAGGACACAGCCUGGUGUGAAGCUACAUUUAUUACGGAAGGAUGCCAGCCGGGAUCCGAACACGUCCGAUAUCAUCCAAGAGAAUGUGGCAGCUGAAGGGGAGAGUCCAAGAAAGAGGCCAAGGGUGAAGACAUUUAGCCACCCCCCCUGAAGUACAUGGCAGCAUUCAACCCUCUUGGUGAGCUGCAGGAAUGUGCUCCCCAUUGCAGUGCACCAGCUCCAUGUACUGAUUUUGGGUGUGAACUUGAUGGGGUUGGAGGAAACUCGACUCGGCCAUCAAGCUCACCACAAUAUAACAUGAAAAGUGAAAAUUGCUGCACAAAACAGUCUGUCGUCUGCACCGGGAGGCAAGGCAGCUCAAAGCCCAGGCUGUUACAACUCCUGGGCAGUUUUUGCUCAGAGCCAGCAAUUUUUUAGAUCCAAUAGGGAUGGAUUUUUUCUGAGGUCAGGUUCAACAUGCUGCAAGAUGCUAAGAUCUAAGCCUAGUAGAAGAUAUGGGUUACAAGAGAGG